CAGCAGCCGCGGUAAUACGUAGGUGGCAAGCGUUGUCCGGAAUUAUUGGGCGUAAAGGGCUCGCAGGCGGUUUCUUAAGUCUGAUGUGAAAGCCCCCGGCUCAACCGGGGAGGGUCAUUGGAAACUGGGAAACUUGAGUGCAGAAGAGGAGAGUGGAAUUCCACGUGUAGCGGUGAAAUGCGUAGAGAUGUGGAGGAACACCAGUGGCGAAGGCGACUCUCUGGUCUGUAACUGACGCUGAGGAGCGAAAGCGUGGGGAGCGAACAGGAUUAGAGACCCGUGUAGUCCCUGUCUCUUAUAC
rnacentral:rRNA from 1 species